rnacentral:rRNA from 1 species
AUUGAACGCUGGCGGCAGGCCUAACACAUGCAAGUCGAACGAGUGGCGGACGGGUGAGUAAUGUCUGGGAAACUGCCCGAUGGCGGGGGAUAACUACUGGAAACGGUAGCUACUACCGCCUACCAUCUGAUGUUCCCAGAUGGGUUUAGCUUGUAGGUGAGGUAACGGCUCACCUAGGCGACGAUACCUCGCGGGUCUGAGAGGAUGACCAGCAACACUGGACUGGAGACACGGUCCAGACUCCGACGGGAGGCAGAAGUGGGGAAUAUUGGACAAUGGUGGCAAGCCGGCUGCAGACAUGCCGCGGGUAGGAAGAAGGCCUUCGGGUUGUAAGGUACGUUAAGCGGGGAGGCGUUACCCGCAGAAGAAGCAACGGCUAACUCCGUGCCAGCAGCCGCGGUAAUUC